UUAAGUCAGGCAACGAGCGAGACCUGUAUCUACAAUUGCUAACGACUCUUUUAAGAGAAUCGAGCACAUUGUGGAGACUGCCCGGGAAACCGGGAGGAAGGUGCAGGCUACGGUAGGUCUGUAUGCUUCGAAUCUUCUGGGCUACACGCGCGCAACAAUGGUAAAGACAAUGGGAUGCAACUCUGAAAAGAGAAGCUAAUCCUCCAAACUUUAUCUCAGUCCAGAUUGAGGAUUGUAACUCAUCCUCAUGACGAUGGAAUCCCUAGUAACCAGAAGUCAUCAGCUUCUGGUGAAUAUGUCCCUGCUCCUUGCACA
rnacentral:rRNA from 1 species